ACGUCAGUUCGUGAACGGACUACCUAACGGAUGAGCUAACGCACGAUUAAAUGUUAUUCGUGAUGAGUGACUAACCUGAAAAAAUAAUGCAUUCGUUUGACAGCGAAUGAAGACCUGUUACUGCAUUCCCGUUUCGCCAACGAAUAAUAAUAACUGCUUUCAUUUUCUAUAUACGCAGAAUCCCGACUCAAUCAUCGACCGCGCGUAUUUUUGUCGACAUUGAGGUGCGAGAAACAUAAUAGCACCAGCGCCCACCACUGAGGCUCUGUGCGUGCUUAGAAGAUUGGCAAGUAGGUACGCUGAGCACGAGGUCGCGGGAUCGAAUCCCGGCCAUGGCGGCCGCAUUUCGAUGGGGGCGAAGUGCGAAAACACCCGUGUACUUAGAUUUAGGUGCACGUUAAAGAACCCCAGGUGGUCGAAAUUUCCGGAGUCCCCCACUACGGCGUGCCUCAUAAUCAGAAAGUGGUUUUGGCACGUAAGACCCCAUAUAUUAUUAUUGGCAAGUAGGUACGUUGGUGGCACUGUAGUUGUAUUACUCUUCCGAACCUUAAGAGCAGCCAGUGUUCGUGCCUGUGUCGGCAUUUGUACGUCAUAGCUGAUACGCGCCACGAAUUCACACGGUAAGAACGGCACGAAUUAUUUGGGCUACUGAGGGCUUGCUGGAGGUAAUGCGUCAUUUACAACGAUUCCCAACAACGUUUUGCGACACGCACUUAACAAAUGUUGCGUACCUAAUUGUAGCGCACGCGAUACAUUCGGUAUCGUCAUGGCACAACUUUAGCGCUCGUUCACAUACUAUUUAAAGAUAUAGUUAUCAAAACAGGAAAAAAAGCCGCCGUUACUGAAUUCGUAUAAGCGUCCGUAUAGAAAUUCUAUGCUGUACACGAAUUUACUCGGAGCUAGAAAGCCAAUGCGAACGCUUAAAGCGCACCGCGCCUUGCAAUGCGUGCACUCACUCUGCGAAAGGUCGUCUGCUACGCUCGAGCGGCGUAGGCGGCGCCACGGUCGAGGAGAGAGCGUGAAAGAGAGGAGAAUCUAGGAGUGAAGGCGGAGGAGAAGAGUGUCACUACUUUACGAUAAAGCUUUGUUUUACGAAGUUAAAGGGUGCUAAUCGCGCCGUCUUUCGCACGCGAACACCAAACCUUACGACGCGACGAGGGGAGGUGACAGGGAAAGCGGGGUUCUCUGCGGCAGCAACUGCGCAUCUGGUGGCUGCGCGCGGUCGUACCUUGAUUGCGUCCUGCAUUAGGGGCAGAGCCUAGGUUUUGAUGGCACCACUCAAGAGCGGGUCGCAGUCUCUGUACCAGUACACGAGGCCCAAUGAAGUUGCAAGAGCCAGGAAGAAGAAGGAAAACACCAAGAGAGGGCCCCCGAUGGCUAUCCUGCAGAUGAGGAUACGGUGUAGAUGUCGUAAAGGUGGUACAGAAGUGGCACCAUCCCGAUUGCCGAGAAUAUGGCCGCAAAGGGUAUGCCAGCCACAGGCCAGAUGACGUGAAAUCCGUAGGCGUAGUAGUGCGCCACGAAGCCCACCACGGUCACGGCUGUGGCCACGGACG